AAAAAUAAUUGACUGAGGAAGAGAGACCUCUCUACCAAAGAGGACCCCGUGGGACUCCAGCUGGGAGCAGCUGGUGACAGUUCUUCAUCACAGCCCUGAUUUCAUGUCCCCCACAGCCAGGCCCAAAGGAGCCCAGGCUGCUUUGGUCCUUGCUAAGAGCUCUGAGUGCAACGGGACACUGUCCCCUGAAAGCCUGAAGGGGCUGAAUACAGAGAGGUGGCAGGGCAGGGGGAACUCAAACCCAUGGAGAUGCCACGGAAUGAGCUAAAGCAGGGAGACUUGUUGUCUGCAUCCCUGUGUCACCGUGCUCCAGACGCCACACAGGCUGCAUCAGCUGAGGGGACACAGAGGGGACAUGGCGCUGCUGGCACAGAGCAUCCUCCCAGGAUCCCUCCAGUCUGCAUUUCCUGCAGCCAGGAGGAAGCUGCGUGCUGGAACAGGGACUGACACGGCGCCUGGGGCUCCCAGAAAUGGGCAGCAAUGGGCAGGGAAAGGCAGAGCCUGAUCUUGGUCCCAGCUUGUGCAAAAAGCCUGGCUGGAAAGAGGCAGAGUAGGGGGGCCUAAUGCCCCUCCCAGUGCAGGACAGGCAACAUCUGGCAAUGAGAGAUGGAUUACACCAGCUCUGACCUAAGAGGAAGUGAAGUGGCAAGAGGAUAAAAAUAGCAAGUGAAAAUUCCAUGUUAAUCUUACAGGAUAAACACUUCAGAUUGAUGCUUUCAAGCAGUAGUUUGAAAUAUG